rnacentral:lncRNA from 1 species
AUGACCAGAGCCUCACUACUGUUCUCUGAGAUAUUCUCCCCCUCCCAGAUGGAAUCACUGCUGCCCUCCAACAACUGUAUGGCCUGGCCGCAGCCCUCCUUGCCCAGCGUCAGGGCCAAGGGCCCUGCCGUGCACCCUGCUAGCAUCGGAUGGGCUGAGCUGCUCCUGUGCAGCACUGGGAAGGGAAACAUGCACUUCCACUCUCUGCAAGGAAAGAGCCCUUGUGAUUGCAGGCAGGAAGCCAUGGUCAUCAGGAGGGGAAUGGUAGAUUGGCCUUAUGGGGCUGCAGGAACCACAGCAGAGGGGGCAGCAAAAAUGGGGGGGGGGGGUGCCACUUACGGCAGGGCCUGCCUGUGCCAAGGGAGAAGACUUCUGGACCUUCUUACAAUCUUCCAUGGCCCUGGCAACAGGCAAUUCAUCCUGUGUGACCACAGUGACAGCACCUCCCUCUUUAGAGAUCCCACAGAGGAGCACUGGGGAAGGAGGGAGCUGAAGGGCAGGAGGAAAUGCGGCGGGAACAGGAAGGACAUCAGGAUGUGGAGCUGUGCUGAACAGCAAAGACUAGUGAUGGAUUUGCAGGGAGGAGGUACCAAGGGGAGCCAACAGAGUAGCGUGCAACUCAUGGCGUGCAGGGCUUUUCCUUCCUCUGCUGGGGAGCUGUGGGCACCAAGAGGUGGAAGUGGGGUGGGAGAUGGAGUAAGGGGAGCCGCAAGUGACUUGAUGAGCAUAGUGAAGCUGGAAGCACCUUUGGCAAGCUUUGGAGGGCUUGUGGGGAAGGACAGAUGUCUCUAUUCUGCUUCUUGCCCACCCCAGACUAUGUCCUCUGUCUCCAUCCCUCCUGGGAUACAAGAUCCCCCCUUCCAUGUCCCUCCCUGCUCCUCUAUACCCCUAGACGCACCCACUCACCCCCUCCUGCCAGGACCCGGAGCAGAUAUGAGGAAAGGGAAGGUUUGUAGGUGCCCAGCUGAGAAAAACAACCUCCAGAAGGAGGCAGCUGAGCUGGGAAGCAGCAGAAGUCCCUACGGAUGUCUCAUUCUUCAGCAUCCAGUCAGAGCCUGCAGUGAGGAAGAAGAGAAGCAAAUGGAGGCUGGGAGAAAGGGAGCAAGAAGUGGUGCCUUAAAAGGAUCCUCCGCCCUGGGGUUACCACCACUCAUCAGAGGGUGCGUCCAGGCUCCUGACCAGGGGGUGCAGGUCCCCAGGGGUCUCCACUGA